rnacentral:lncRNA from 1 species
GGUCAAAGGGAAGGGAUGACCAGAUCUUUCAGAUUGAGCCGCCUCCUCAACCAACAAAUCCAAAAGUCGGUCAAUCUACAAGAUUUGUCAUUACAACAAUGUCAAGCUACAGGCAUGAUCAAGACCCAUAGAUCUGGUGACAAUUAAUAUCUACACUUGAAAGUUUGUUUUUCCAACUAUAUAAGAUUGACCUCAAGUACAAGAUUAGUUUAUGACAUAACUGUGUCUUCCCCAUGAACAAUAAUUGUAAAAGAAAUCUAACAUAAGUAAAACUGAACUUUGAAUUUCUAGCAUUUAUGAUAUAUAUUUGGUCUUUGGCACAACUGCAAAAUGAACAAUAUUUUUAUUCCCGGAAGACCCUUCAUAUAUUUCAGAAAAUUAUCCAACAAAGGAUAGACCAAAAAGUGAAUCGCUUAUAGUUGCAUUUUGAAGACUCAAGCACCACGGAGUUGCUGGUAAAUAGAAAAAACAAAGGAUAGCAUGGAGGAUUGCCCUCAAAGAAUGUGUAGAACCUUGUGAAUGGAAGAUCCCUUGAGAUCUCAAUAAGAAUUGUAUUACUGUUUUGCCUCUUGUUUAUGUAUUUUUGUUAUGACGAUGUUCGGGCUAGCUUGAGCGCACAUUGACUAUUCCACUGGUACCUGGUAUCUCCCACCAGCAAAGACGCCUACUGUCAAUUCACCAUAGUUGUUCCCAGACAAUGAAUAAAUAGGGUGAGUACCUUUUUAAUUGAUAAAACAUUUGGGAAAAGACAGCGGAACUCUCUGACAAGAUGUUUGCAGUUCUCCUGAAUUACAGUUUCUUCACGAGUUAUAUGACAAUAUGAAAAGAUUCAAAUUAAAUGGAGCUAACACCUUCUAUCACCUUCCAGACUUCAGAGUAUUACCAGAAAGGUUCACCACUUAUGCUGGGAAAUUAGAAUUUCAACACACUUCACGCAGUAAGAGUUAGCUCCUUAUGCAUUAGAGAGCUCUUGGCUGGAGAGCCUUGUCAAGCCUAACAACCCACUAUGACCCACCCAAAAGCACACACACA